AAUUCACAAAGAAAAUACCGUAACAAAAGUGUAUAUUUUUCGAAUAUCAGUUACAAUAUAUCGUUUAGGGACUCCUUACUACUGUUGUUCCACCUCCAGGUUAGACCGACAACACAGAUUGAAGAUUGAAAAAUGAGGAAUAGCUUUAGAACUUCAUGACUGAACACCGAUGAUGCCUUCUUUCGCAGUUCCCUUCAAAGUACCAAAAGUUCUUCACGUAGAACCACUGUCUGAGUAUUCCCAUGAAUGAGAAGUAUCAUUCCUGAAUAACAACAAUGCACAGAUUGGGAGAGUAACCUCACUACAAGCAUCUUGACAAAACACUCAACUUUCUCCACCCACUGCUGCAUGACAACAGAUACACACACAUGCAACGAAAACUUAGAACCUUGGCUGGGAAGAAAGGCUUCACACAAAUGAGAAUAGCUGAAUACCUACAGUAAAUAGGAUAGCUCAUUCAAUGGGUUUAAGAACUGUAUUAAAAAAAUUAAUUUUAUAAUACUAAUGUCUGAAGUUAACCUGCUAAUGAGAUGCUCAUUCUUGGUCCAAAUCACUUCACCUUUUCACACUCAAAGUAGAGGUUAUCAUUACAAGACAUCAGCAAAAGUGGUUACCUCAACGUGACUUGACAGAACAUUAAAUGGGGCUUUAAUACAACUAAUAAUACUCAAUGUAUAAAACCGAUGGAAAUAAGAUGCUUUGCACACAAUUUAAUCCAAUGUAUGUCUAACAAUCAGCUGUACUUCUAUUAUAUUUAUAUAUAUAAAUUUGAAGUAAAUAAAUGUGUAUCAAGUUUCUGCCUCAGAGUCACACAGUUGGCUGUAUGUUCAAGGUUCAACAAAAGUGUUUGUCUAAUAUGAAACAAGUUUUAUUUUUCUUGUUACAUUGUCAAAUAAAUUAAGUUGAGCUACAAUUUUUGUCUGGCACUAAAUGUUAUGAGGUUGUGAUAAUAUUUUGUUGAAACAUAAGCUUUUACUGCUGCAUCUUGUGUUUUAUAAUAUGAGCAAGAUAUCUUACUAAACAUAGCAUUAAAACAUUUUCAUAACCUCAGAAAGAUCCAAUGAACACAGUUCCAGAAACGCUGCUGUAAAUUUACAGAGGGUGAAAAUACUUUAACACAUUAUGCUGCAAAGCUGGUUCAGUCAGUAUGACUGCAGCUGCCAUACUGUAUGUAUUAUACUAAAAAUACAAAAACUAAAUAUUUUU